CGCGACAAUGAGCAGGUGAGUUUUAUCUCUGCUUUGUCUACUGGGCAGAGUUUACACCAGACUUUUAUUUUGAAGGCCAAUAGAACAACUACUGUUCAUGUUGAUGUUUGAGACAGAAGCUGCUGCAGCUCAGACUGAGUCUGUGUCUGACAACAGUACGACAGGAUUCCUACAGUUUAACCACAAACAUCUCUACUGACAAAACCGUGGUUUAACCAGCAGCUGCUACUGUGUGGUGCUUUUACUUCAGUAACACAAACACAGUUGUCGACAUAAUUUAUAUGUCAAAUAACAGACUGUUUAUUUUGCUGAUUUUCCAUCAGAUCCAUUUAUUUUGGCUGCUCAUGCAAACUGUGCUGCUGCAGUUCAUGUUUAACCUCUGUGCAUACAUGUCCAUAAUAAAUACAUGUAAAUACAGUGUAAAGAGUCCAGAGAAUCAAACUACAGUCCUGCUCUCAGUCUGAAUCAUCAGGUUCAUGGUGUGAAAGGAAAUCAGUCAGUCAGAGAUCAGUCAGUCAGUCAGAGAUCAGUCAGUCAGUCAGAGAUCAAUCAGUCAGUCAGAGAUCAGUCAGUCAGUCAGUCAGAGAUCAGUCAGUCAGUCAGAGAUCAGUCAAUCAGUCAGUCAGAGAUCAGUCAGUCAGUCAGAGAUCAGUCAGUCAGAGAUCAGUCAGUCAGUCAGAGAUCAGUCAGUCAGAGAUCAAUCAGUCAGUCAGAGAUCAGUCAGAGAUCAGUCAGUCAGAGAUCAGUCAGUCAGUCAGAGAUCAGUCAGUCAGUCAGAGAUCAGUCAGUCAGAGAUCAGUCAGUCAGUCAGAGAUCAAUCAGUCAGAGAUCAGUCAGUCAGUCAGAGAUCAGUCAGAGAUCAGUCAGUCAGUCAGAGAUCAAUCAGUCAGUCAGUCAGAGAUCAGUCAGUCAGUCAGAGAUCAGUCAGAGAUCAGUCAGUCAGAGAUCAGUCAGUCAGUCAGAGAUCAGUCAGUCAGAGAUCAGUCAGUCAGUCAGAGAUCAGUCAGUCAGUCAGUCAGUACCUGGCUC